rnacentral:lncRNA from 1 species
AAGGGUAUAAAAAUAAGGUGGCCGCCGGAAACAUGUCUUCUUCUAUUCAACACCUGGAAAUGCGAGUAGCUUCUAAGCUUACUCAGUGCCUAUGAUCGAGUCUUGGCAAGUGUUUCUAAGCUAUGAAGGUAGUUGUCCAUUCUUCAACCCAUCAUGCAAGGGGAAAUAGGCCAUCACUCAUCACAAAGGUCAUCGGGACUUAUUAUGUGAGUCCCUGCAAGAAUUACCAAUGAGGAAUAUGCUGUAAAAGGGCUAAGUAUGAAGCAGGUUCUCUGUGUUAAAGCCAAGAAAUCUCCACGUUAGCAUACAAGCCAUAUGAACUUCACAGGCCAAGCAAAGCAAGUUAUCUCAUGCCAAGCGAAAUGCAUAAACAAAAAAAUUUGAAGCAUCAUGCAAUCUAUUACUCGAGCUUAUGACAAGCAAAGUUCCCUUUCCAUGCUCAAUCAGUCAUUCCAGCAGACCCUUUCACAAAUUACAAGCAUACGCUCGUAAUGCAUAUAGUUCAAUCAAAGAAGGUGGUCAAGAAUGUAGCACACGCAAAGUAGACGCCAAGCAUGGUGAGUCAAGCUCACGCCAAAGAAAAGGCUUAAGUAAAUAUCAAAGCAGCAUGCAAUUUAUCCAUGGCAAGCAAAAUUCUCAAGCAAUUCCCAUGACAAGCAAAUUCUCCCUCAAAAUACAAAAAGAUUCAAGCAUUGCAGAGCAUGCAUUCUGUCAAUUUCUAUUUCCACAAGAUCGGAGAAAAGUCCAGAUUUAAUCAAGCGUGUGUUCACAAGAAAAACAAGCCUAGGCCAAACACCAGUCUAUGUCUAUGCCUACAAAGCCAAAAGAAAGACUCAAGAUUCCAGUGAAGGAGCAGAACUAUUUACUGAGAAAUCGAGAUAGAAAUCCAAAUUGCCAAGUUGCGAAAUUGGUACACUCGAAGCUUCCAGCGACAAUGGAUACAACGCAGGCUUUCGGCACCCUCCCCUGCCUGUGCCAGAGA